rnacentral:tRNA from 1 species
GGCAAGGUGGCCGAGUGGUCCAAGGCGCACGGUUCAGGUAACUUUGUAAAGUUAGUGUUUCCGUGUCUCGAAAGGGGCGUGGGUUCGAAUCCCACCCUUGUCA